rnacentral:rRNA from 1 species
UACGUAGGGCGCGAGCGUUGUCCGGAAUUAUUGGGCGUAAAGAGCUCGUAGGCGGCUUGUCACGUCAGGUGUGAAAGACCGGGGCUUAACUCCGGUUCUGCAUUCGAUACGGGCUAGCUAGAGUGUGGUAGGGGGAGAUCGGAAUUCCUGGUGUAGCGGUGAAAUGCGCAGAUAUCAGGAGGAACACCGGUGGCGAAGGCGGAUCUCUGGGCCAUUACUGACGCUGAGGAGCGAAAGCGUGGGGAGCGAACAGG